AACAAACGCUGGCGGAAACAUUGGGCGUAAAGCGGGUGUAGGUGGCUUUGUAAGUCGGGUGUGAAAGCCUGGGGCUUAACCCCAGAAGUGCAUUCGAUACUGCGAAGCUUGAGUGGUAGAGAGGAUAGUAGAAUUGCUGGCGGUGUAGUGGUGAAAUACGUAGAUAUCAACAGGAAUACCGGAGGCGAAAGCGGCUAUCUGGCUACACACUGACACUCAGACCCGAAAGCGUAGGGAUCAAACAGGAUUAGAUACCCUGGUAGUCCACGCCAUAAACGGUGGAUACUUGUUGUUGGAGGUAUUGACCCCUUCAGUGACGAAGCUAAAGCGUUAAGUAUCCCGCCUGGGGAGUACGGUCGCAAGAUUAAAACUCAAAGAAAUUGACGGGGGCCCGCACAAGCGGUGGAGCAUGUGGUUUAAUUCGAUGCAACGCGAAGAACCUUAGAUGAUUGGGGUCGACGA
rnacentral:rRNA from 1 species